rnacentral:rRNA from 1 species
GAUGAACGCUGGCGGCGUGCCUAAUACAUGCAAGUCGAGCGAAUGGAUUAAGAGCUUGCUCUUAUGAAGUUAGCGGCGGACGGGUGAGUAACACGUGGGUAACCUGCCCAUAAGACUGGGAUAACUCCGGGAAACCGGGGCUAAUACCGGAUAAUAUUUUGAACCGCAUGGUUCGAAAUUGAAAGGCGGCUUCGGCUGUCACUUAUGGAUGGACCCGCGUCGCAUUAGCUAGUUGGUGAGGUAACGGCUCACCAAGGCAACGAUGCGUAGCCGACCAGGGAGGGGGAUCGGCCACACUGGGACUGAGACACGGCCCAGACUCCUACGGGAGGUAGCAGUAGGGAAUCUUCCGCAAUGGACGAAAGUCUGACGGAGCAACGCCGCGUGAGUGAUGAAGGCUUUCGGGUCGUAAAACUCUGUUGUUAGGGAAGAACAAGUGCUAGUUGAAUAAGCUGGCACCUUGACGGUACCUAACCAGAAAGCCACGGCUAACUACGUGCCAGCCGCCGCAGUAA